rnacentral:rRNA from 1 species
UACGAGGGGAGCAAGCGUUGUUCGGAUUUACUGGGCGUAAAGGGCGCGUAGGCGGUCGUGACAAGUCACUUGUGAAAUCUCCGGGCUUAACUCGGAACGGUCAAGUGAUACUGUCGGACUAGAGUACAGAAGGGGCAACUGGAAUUCUCGGUGUAGCGGUGAAAUGCGUAGAUAUCGAGAGGGAACACCUGCGGCGAAGGCGGGUUGCUGGGCUGAUACUGACGCUGGAUGCGCGAAAGCCAGGGGAGCGAACGGG